GUCUAAGUACAAACAUAAAUGAAUGUUGGAAACCGCAUAAGGCUCAGUAUAACAGCUAUAAUUUCACAAGAUCAUCCUACCACUAGUUACUUGGAUAACUGUGGAAAAUCCAGAGCUAAUACAUGCAACAUGCCGGGACUGUUGCCCUCGCGGGUAGCUGAACUGGUGCACUAUUAGUUAAACAAUCGCCUCCGGCGGCUUGAGUUGAAGUCUGGAUUUCACAGAUCCAAGUAUCGUAGGAUGGUGCUUGUGAUUAUACUGUUAUACUUGAG
rnacentral:rRNA from 1 species